AGGCUGCAACCCGCCUGCACGAAGUUGGAAUUGCUAGUAAUCGCGGAUCAGCAUGCCGCGGUGAAUACGUUCCCGGGUCUUGUACACACCGCCCGUCACACCAUGGGAGCCGGUAAUACCCGAAGUCAGUAGUUUAACCCUUGUGGAGGACGCUGCCGAAGGUAGGAUUGGCGACUGGGGUGAAGUCGUAACAAGGUAUC
rnacentral:rRNA from 1 species